rnacentral:rRNA from 1 species
AGCGUACACGGUGGAUGCCCUGGCAGUCAGAGGCGAUGAAGGACGUGCUAAUCUGCGAUAAGCGUCGGUAAGGUGAUAUGAACCGUUAUAACCGGCGAUUUCCGAAUGGGGAAACCCAGUGUGUUUCGACACACUAUCAUUAACUGAAUCCAUAGGUUAAUGAGGCGAACCGGGGGAACUGAAACAUCUAAGUACCCCGAGGAAAAGAAAUCAACCGAGAUUCCCCCAGUAGCGGCGAGCGAACGGGGAGCAGCCCAGAGCCUGAAUCAGUAUGUGUGUUAGUGGAAGCGUCUGGAAAGGCGCGCGAUACAGGGUGACAGCCCCGUACACAAAAAUGCACAUGCUGUGAGCUCGAUGAGUAGGGCGGGACACGUGGUAUCCUGUCUGAAUAUGGGGGGACCAUCCUCCAAGGCUAAAUACUCCUGACUGACCGAUAGUGAACCAGUACCGUGAGGGAAAGGCGAAAAGAACCCCGGCGAGGGGAGUGAAAAAGAACCUGAAACCGUGUACGUACAAGCAGUGGGAGCACGCUUAGGCGUGUGACUGCGUACCUUUUGUAUAAUGGGUCAGCGACUUAUAUUCUGUAGCAAGGUUAACCGAAUAGGGGAGCCGAAGGGAAACCGAGUCUUAACUGGGCGUUAAGUUGCAGGGUAUAGACCCGAAACCCGGUGAUCUAGCCAUGGGCAGGUUGAAGGUUGGGUAACACUAACUGGAGGACCGAACCGACUAAUGUUGAAAAAUUAGCGGAUGACUUGUGGCUGGGGGUGAAAGGCCAAUCAAACCGGGAGAUAGCUGGUUCUCCCCGAAAGCUAUUUAGGUAGCGCCUCGUGAAUUCAUCUCCGGGGGUAGAGCACUGUUUCGGCAAGGGGGUCAUCCCGACUUACCAACCCGAUGCAAACUGCGAAUACCGGAGAAUGUUAUCACGGGAGACACACGGCGGGUGCUAACGUCCGUCGUGAAGAGGGAAACAACCCAGACCGCCAGCUAAGGUCCCAAAGUCAUGGUUAAGUGGGAAACGAUGUGGGAAGGCCCAGACAGCCAGGAUGUUGGCUUAGAAGCAGCCAUCAUUUAAAGAAAGCGUAAUAGCUCACUGGUCGAGUCGGCCUGCGCGGAAGAUGUAACGGGGCUAAACCAUGCACCGAAGCUGCGGCAGCGACACUAUGUGUUGUUGGGUAGGGGAGCGUUCUGUAAGCCUGUGAAGGUGUGCUGUGAGGCAUGCUGGAGGUAUCAGAAGUGCGAAUGCUGACAUAAGUAACGAUAAAGCGGGUGAAAAGCCCGCUCGCCGGAAGACCAAGGGUUCCUGUCCAACGUUAAUCGGGGCAGGGUGAGUCGACCCCUAAGGCGAGGCCGAAAGGCGUAGUCGAUGGGAAACAGGUUAAUAUUCCUGUACUUGGUGUUACUGCGAAGGGGGGACGGAGAAGGCUAUGUUGGCCGGGCGACGGUUGUCCCGGUUUAAGCGUGUAGGCUGGUUUUCCAGGCAAAUCCGGAAAAUCAAGGCUGAGGCGUGAUGACGAGGCACUACGGUGCUGAAGCAACAAAUGCCCUGCUUCCAGGAAAAGCCUCUAAGCAUCAGGUAACAUCAAAUCGUACCCCAAACCGACACAGGUGGUCAGGUAGAGAAUACCAAGGCGCUUGAGAGAACUCGGGUGAAGGAACUAGGCAAAAUGGUGCCGUAACUUCGGGAGAAGGCACGCUGAUAUGUAGGUGAAGUCCCUCGCGGAUGGAGCUGAAAUCAGUCGAAGAUACCAGCUGGCUGCAACUGUUUAUUAAAAACACAGCACUGUGCAAACACGAAAGUGGACGUAUACGGUGUGACGCCUGCCCGGUGCCGGAAGGUUAAUUGAUGGGGUUAGCCGCAAGGCGAAGCUCUUGAUCGAAGCCCCGGUAAACGGCGGCCGUAACUAUAACGGUCCUAAGGUAGCGAAAUUCCUUGUCGGGUAAGUUCCGACCUGCACGAAUGGCGUAAUGAUGGCCAGGCUGUCUCCACCCGAGACUCAGUGAAAUUGAACUCGCUGUGAAGAUGCAGUGUACCCGCGGCAAGACGGAAAGACCCCGUGAACCUUUACUAUAGCUUGACACUGAACAUUGAGCCUUGAUGUGUAGGAUAGGUGGGAGGCUUUGAAGUGUGGACGCCAGUCUGCAUGGAGCCGACCUUGAAAUACCACCCUUUAAUGUUUGAUGUUCUAACGUUGACCCGUAAUCCGGGUUGCGGACAGUGUCUGGUGGGUAGUUUGACUGGGGCGGUCUCCUCCUAAAGAGUAACGGAGGAGCACGAAGGUUGGCUAAUCCUGGUCGGACAUCAGGAGGUUAGUGCAAUGGCAUAAGCCAGCUUGACUGCGAGCGUGACGGCGCGAGCAGGUGCGAAAGCAGGUCAUAGUGAUCCGGUGGUUCUGAAUGGAAGGGCCAUCGCUCAACGGAUAAAAGGUACUCCGGGGAUAACAGGCUGAUACCGCCCAAGAGUUCAUAUCGACGGCGGUGUUUGGCACCUCGAUGUCGGCUCAUCACAUCCUGGGGCUGAAGUAGGUCCCAAGGGUAUGGCUGUUCGCCAUUUAAAGUGGUACGCGAGCUGGGUUUAGAACGUCGUGAGACAGUUCGGUCCCUAUCUGCCGUGGGCGCUGGAGAACUGAGGGGGGCUGCUCCUAGUACGAGAGGACCGGAGUGGACGCAUCACUGGUGUUCGGGUUGUCAUGCCAAUGGCACUGCCCGGUAGCUAAAUGCGGAAGAGAUAAGUGCUGAAAGCAUCUAAGCACGAAACUUGCCCCGAGAUGAGUUCUCCCUGACUCCUUGA